rnacentral:lncRNA from 1 species
UAGUGCAGCUCCUGAGUGCAGACCAAGGAAGGCAUUCACCUGCAUGAAAAUUGGGCCUGCUGUGCAUGACAGUGAACUACUACUACUGGAUGGAUACUGAUGCCUUUAAGAGAGUCCUAAUUUCAAUCUUCUGUCAUGGAGAAUAUCCAAUCAAAUUAGAAGUGAAACAAGUCAAAGUAGCUACAAUAUUCAAGACACAUUCCAGGCAAAGUGAAGGAACACGGAUGGCUGGUGGAGAGUAAGCAGUCUGCAUGGUAUGCUGGCUGGCUGCGGGUGGCCUUGUGGAUCUGGGACAUUGGAAGAACUGCUGUCCUAGGAGAAAAGACUGGCAGAGCAAGCUGGGUUCAGUGGAAGGGCUUGAGCUGUGGGCUGAGCUACAGAUAAGGAGAACCCUACACAGGUUUUAGCUAGGGAGAUGAGGCCAUUAGGGGUAUUCAACUUGAUGGAACCCUUGUAGAAAUAGGUAUGCACAAAACUCUUUAUUCCAUUCACACUCUGUUCAUUUGAAGAGGGGCAAGGUAAAGGGGAAGAAGAGAGAAAAAGGAAAUAAGAGUGAACACCAGAGAAGCAGGAAAGGGAAAAAACAUAUUCUGAGCAAGGAAUCAAAGCAGGACUAGGACUGAAUGGGAAGAUUUUUGUUUGUUUUGUUUUUAAGAGGCAGAGCCUCGAUCUGUCACCUUGGCUGGAGUACAGAGCUACAAUCCUAGUUCGCUGGAGCCUUGAACUCCUGGGAGCAAGUGACCCUCCUGCCUCAGCCUCCUGAGCAGUUGUGAUGACAGGCAUGUGCCACUAUGCUUGGAUACUUUUUUGUAAAAAUUUUUUUUUGUAGAGAUGGCAGUCUCAUUAUGUUGCCUAGGCUAGUCUCAAAUUUCUGGUCUCAAGCAAUUCUCCCACCUCAGCCUCCCAAAGUGCUGGAAUUACAGGUACAAGCCACUGCACCCUGUCUAAAUAAUAAAGUUAAGUAAAUGUUUAGUUGAGAACUAGGUGGAGGACAUAAUCUGCUGCUCCUUGGAGCUGAGAACAUCUGAGAACUCACCCACCAUUUCCUAAACUAGAAGUUAAACUUGUGACCUGUAGUCUACAAGGACCUAAAACUUGGAUUUACUUAAUUUAAUUUUAUCUUUUUGGACUUAUUUAUUUUUGCUUUUAUUUAUAUACCUUAAACAUAUUUUAAAUUUGAGUGCCUUUAGGAGGCUAUGCCAUUCUAUAGUUCAACACUCCCUAUUUUCCUACAUCCAUGUUUAUACACCAGCCUGGCUUCUUUAGGAAUUUGAGUUUGUAGUUCCAACUAGGAGAUAAAGACUUGUUCACUGAAGAUAAAUACAAGGUAUUUGUAUUUCCAUAUGCCUGAAAAUUAAGAAUAUUAAAAUACACCUAGAUAUUUGGAAAGAUAAGUUGCAUACUUUCCUCCCCCAAUAUUUAUAAAGAGAACAGUGGGCUACUUGUGAGAAAUGUAUCAGAUGCUCUCAAAGUGAUUGUCAUGCUUUAUCAGCAGCCAUUAAAAGAGCAUCUGCUACAAAUAUUUAGCCCCCCUGAUGUUUUUGCAUAGUCCUUUGUACCACUGAGCAGAAAUCACUUGGUCAAAUCUCAAUUUUCUCAUUUUCUUCUCUUACUUCAGGAAAACGAAUAGAUUUAUUUUCCUUUUGUUUCUUACUUUUUGAAAAAGGAUAGGAGCCAAUUAAAAGUUACUGAGUAGUAUGUCAUAGUGUGUUAUUCUGUUUCUUGCCGUUGUUGGUUAUCCACAAAAAAUAGCUCUGAUAUGGGCCAACGUACUUAACUAUAUUGUCAAGUACACUGGUAUCCCACAUAUUUUCAUUCAGAUCUGUGCCCCCAAAAUAUCUACAAUUGAUUUCUCUUGAGUUUUAAGGGCAUGUAACUCCUCUGCCACUCUCACCAAUAAGAAUAUUUAUCUGUGUGAGAUUAAGGCAGAAAAAGACAUGUGUAAUUAUGACAGGUCUGCAUUUGACUACUGAGUAAAAUAUUUGAAACACCAAAGGUCUAACUAACAUCAAAGAUGUUAUUAAAAUGUGCACUUAGGAUGGGUGAAUUUUAUUGUAUGUAUAUAACACUUUAAUUUAAAACAUUUUUAAAAUGUAAGAUCUAAGACCACCACUAGAUAAACAAGGCAGAGUGUACAUGCAUUUAUAUUUGCCUCCACUUCAAAUCCUACCAAAAUAAAUGUAAAGAAAAGAAAAAGUUAUAAAUCUAUAGCAGUAAAGUGACCAGAAGUGGAGAAAAUAAUUAAUUAAGGAGAGAUGCUAAUAAAAUUUAGAAUGACUAAAAGUGAAGAGAAGAACCUAAAUCCUACAUACCUGCAGAGAUGGAUACCAGUAAGUAGUCAACCACAGGCCCUCGGAAAAUGACAAUGAUAGAAGGUCUCAGAAAUUGUUUCUAGUACUCCAAAAUGGAGUUACUGAAGUAUGGAGCUGAAAAUGGAGUGAUCAAGAAUCAGACCAAAGAAGGGUCAGCCUGUCUUGAAGAUUUGUGAGAAUGACAACUCAGACUUGGUUCAAGAUUGUUUUUUCCCAUUGGUUCUAGCAAAUCAUUCCCAAGAGAAUUUCAAAACAGAGAUACAAGGGAGUACCCCACUGUCAGAGUCUCUGCAUUUCUCCCACACAG